AGGUGCGAUCAUACCAGCACUAAUGCAUCGGAUUCUAUGGGAACUCCGCAGAUAAGCGUUCUUGGGUGAGAGUAGUACUAGGAUGGGUGACCUCCUGGGAAGUCCUCAUGUUGCACUUC
rnacentral:rRNA from 1 species